rnacentral:rRNA from 1 species
UGAGGAAUAUUGGUCAAUGGACGAGAGUCUGAACCAGCCAAGUAGCGUGAAGGAUGACUGCCCUAUGGGUUGUAAACUUCUUUUAUAUGGGAAUAAAAAUGUUCCACGUGUGGGAUUUUGUAUGUACCAUAUGAAUAAGGAUCGGCUAACUCCGUGCC